rnacentral:tRNA from 1 species
UCGGGGGUGGUGUAAUUGGCAGCACGUCAGCCUUUGGAGCUGAAAGCCCGAGUUCGACCCUCGGCCCCCGAG